AGUUGGUGAGGUAAAGGCUUACCAAGGCGACGAUCAGUAGCUGGUCUGAGAGGACGACCAGCCACACUGGGACUGAGACACGGCCCAGACUCCUACGGGAGGCAGCAGUGGGGAAUUUUGGACAAUGGGGGAAACCCUGAUCCAGCCAUGCCGCGUGAGUGAAGAAGGCCUUCGGGUUGUAAAGCUCUUUCAGCCGGAACGAAACAGUCACGGAUAAUACCCGUGACUACUGACGGUACCGGAAGAAGAAGCACCGGCUAACUACGUGCCAGCAGCCGCGGCAAUACGUAGGGUGCGAGCGUUAAUCGGAAUUACUGGGCGUAAAGCGUGCGCAGGCGGUUUUGUAAGUCAGAUGUGAAAUCCCCGGGCUUAACCUGGGAACUGCGUUUGAAACUACAAGGCUAGAAGGG
rnacentral:rRNA from 1 species